UGCCCCAUGGCUGAGUUGGUUACAGCGUCCGACUGUUAUUCCUCCACAGGGAAUUGCCAUCGGAAGGUCGUGAGUUCGAGCCUCACUGGGGCAG